rnacentral:rRNA from 1 species
AGAGUUUGAUCCUGGCUCAGAAUCAACGCUGGCGGCGUGCCUGAACACAUGCAAGUCGAACGAGAAAGUGGAGCAAUCCAUGAGUAAAGUGGCGACCGGGUGAGUAACACGUGACUAACCUACCUUCGAGUGGGGGAUAACAUCGGGAAACCGAUGCUAAUACCGCAUAAUAUCGCAAGAUCAAAGCAGCAAUGCGCUGGAAGAGGGGGUCGCGGCUGAUUAGCUAGUUGGCGGGGUAACGGCCCACCAAGGCGAAGAUCGGUAGCCGGCCUGAUGGGCACGGCCACACUGGAAUUGAASCACGGUCCAGACUCCUACGGGAGGCAGCAGUGGGGAAUUUUGCGCAAUGGGGGAAACCCUGACGCAGCAACGCCGCGUGGAGGAUGAAGCCCCUUGGGGCGUAAACUCCUUUCGACCAAGACGAAAAAUGACGGCUACUGGUGGAAGAAGGACCGGGUAACUCAGUGCCAGCAG